rnacentral:lncRNA from 1 species
GCCUUUAUAAUGUUUUGUUGUGUACAUAUGUAAAACAUAUUUUGUAAAUAAAACUCCUACUACAUAGUCUCAAGCGACUGGGCAAUUUAAUUAUUUUAUAAAUUUCCAAACCAUUAAAUUGUACGUUUUUACAUUUACAUAUCGUUAUUUUAACAUAGCCUUUCAGUACUAGGAUUACAAAACUUGUGAUCCAAACACCAAAUCCAGUAUUUGUA